rnacentral:rRNA from 1 species
AUGGAAGAUGCUGGAUUGGACUUCUUCCUUGAUGCCAUUGACAGGUUCCCCCUGCAGGAAUUCGCGGACAGCCACGAACACCCAGAUUCGGUUCCUCUGAUUUUGUUGGCGAGCGGCGGAGUAGGAGCGACGGCCCCUGCUGAUUCCAAUGCUUGCUCCGGUUGUGGUCAGCAGAGCGGCGGCGACGGCAGCGAAGCUGCGCGUGCUGGGGUUCGGCGACGACAGGAGUCAUCCCCGACGAGGUCCACAGUCCACCGACAGAGUCAAUCCCCAGGCCCCUCUGGUUGCACAAAAAGAUUAAGGCUGGGUAGUGCGUCGCCCGACCGGAUGCCAUGUCCAUCCAGAAUGAUUUCUAUGGAUUGGAAUAGUCGAUUUGCAAAUAAGCAGAGGAAUCAACAAAAAGUGUGA